UACAGAGGUCUCAAGCGUUGUUCGGAUUCAUUGGGCGUAAAGGGUGCGUAGGUGGCGCGGUAAGUCGGGUGUGAAAUCUCGGAGCUUAACUCCGAAAUUGCAUUCGAUACUGCCGUGCUUGAGGACUGGAGAGGAGACUGGAAUUCAUGGUGUAGCAGUGAAAUGCGUAGAGAUCGGGAGGAACAUCAGUGGCGAAGGCGGCCAUCUGGGACAACACUGACGCUGAGGCACGAAAGCGUGGGGAGCAAACAGGG
rnacentral:rRNA from 1 species